rnacentral:rRNA from 1 species
AUGCAGGAGGUGAAAAUUCAUUGUCUACUCAGUUUCUCAGUUUUCCUCUUUCAAAAGCAAGAGAUUUUUCAAGACCUUGCUCCACUGCUGUGGCACUCCUUUGGCACCGUUGCUGCACUGCUCCAGGAGAUUGUGUCAAUCUACCCUUCACUUUCAUCUCCUACUUUGUUGCCAGUUGCAUCAAACCAUGUCUGCAAUGCACUUGCACUUCUUCAGUGUGUUGCUUCACACCCUGAGACUAGGAUCUCGUUCUUGAAUGCUCACAUCCCACUGUACAUGUACCCGUUCCUAAAUACUACCAGCAAGACCAGACCUUUUGAGUACUUGAGGCUUACCAGCUUGGGUGUUGUUGGUGCUCUUGUGAAGGAAUCCCAACAAUAA